GACGAACGCUGGCGGCGUGCCUAAUACAUGCAAGUCGAGCGCAGGAAGCCGUCUGAACCCUUCGGGGGGACGACGGUGGAAUGAGCGGCGGACGGGUGAGUAACACGUAAAGAACCUGCCCACGGGUCUGGGAUAACCACGAGAAAUCGGGGCUAAUACCGGACGGGUCAUCGGACCGCAUGGUCCGAGGAUGAAAGGCGCUCCGGCGUCGCCCGUGGAUGGCUUUGCGGUGCAUUAGCUAGUUGGUGGGGUAACGACCCACCAAGGCGACGAUGCAUAGCCGACCUGAGAGGGUGAUCGGCCACACUGGGACUGAGACACGGCCCAGACUCCUACGGGAGGCAGCAGUAGGGAAUCUUCCACAAUGGACGAAAGUCUGAUGGAGCAACGCCGCGUGAACGAUGGAGGCCCUCGGGUCGUAAAGUUCUGUUGUAAGGGAAGAACAAGUGCCGCAGGCAAUGGCGGCACCUUGACGGUACCUUGCGAGAAAGCCACGGCUAACUACGUGCCAGCCGCCGCGGUAACAC
rnacentral:rRNA from 1 species